rnacentral:lncRNA from 1 species
UGAGUAUAUACUUUUUUUUUACUUAUAAUUUUUUAACUGGUAGAUCUAUUUCUUUAACUAUUUCCAUCCGUUAGAUCAUAUAUACUAUUCAACCGAUCACCGACUCAAUUCUAGAAAACCACUAUCAUUCUAACUGUCUAUUUCUUUAUCCAACGAUCGAAAAUUUAUAAAUACAAAAAGAUCUAUAAUAGCCCUAGCCUAAUUAAUAUAUACUAUCAAAAAAUUAUAUUUUGAUGA